CUCUGUGCCUGUUUGGGGUCGCUGUGCGGGUUUGGGGUCACUCUGUGCGGGUUUGGGGUCGCUGCAUCCUUUUGGGGUCACCGUGUGUGGGUUUGGGGUCACUGUGUGUGGGUUUGGGGUCGCUGUGCCUGUUUGGGGUUGCUCCGUGCCUUUUCGGGAUCACUGCCCCUGUUUGGGGUCAUUCUGGGCCUUUUUGGGGGUGCGGGGUCUUCGAUGGGGCUCUUCAGGAUCAGAGUGGGGAGUUUUGUGGCACCACAUUGGGGUCUGUCUGCCAUGGGGCCGUUUUUGGGGCCGUUUUUGGGGCCGUUUUUGGGGCCAUUUUUGGGGCCGUUCCUGGAGUUUUCAGCUCUUUCAUGACGUCAUUUUCCUUCGCUAUUUUGGGCCGUUUUGGGCUCUUCCUGGGGUCGCUUUGGGGCUUUUUCUGCAGCUUUGUGAAUCUAUGGGGCCUCGUUAGGGCCCACCAUUUUGGGGCUAUUUUGGGGCUUUUUGGACACUUUGGGGUCACGUUAUUGGUUUCUUUUAGGGACAUCGCGUUGCCAUGCCACCUUCAGGGCCAAUUCCUGGGGCCUCUUCUCUGGGAAUUCAUUUGGGUUUCUUUGUUUUUUGG
rnacentral:lncRNA from 1 species